CCAGAGAAUAAUGGGUUCCAAGGUGGGAACUCGGGUGUGUCGAGGAUGGGAACGAAGCCAGAGACCAGAGGACCACCUGACAUGGUUAAACAGCCCUGGCUUAACGUUCCAGACACUGCUGCCAAUACUUGCGGCUGUUAGUUCCUGAUUUCUGCUUAAGGUCGGUACUUUCCAGUAAAAACCGCCUAGAUACGCCUCUGCCCAUAUUUGACUAACAAAAUGCGUGUUAGCACAGCUUCCUGAUGAGCUGUCUUGCAAAUCUGUCCUAUGCUGCAGGCUUUGCAGUUCUGCUUAUAGUCCUGUGAUCAGAGACACUUCCUCCUGUGGCAGCUGAAUUCCACGUUUCCCGAAACAGGAUUUCCCUAUUUUGUAGAGAACUUCCAUGAUUGAAUCUUCCUGCUUCUGGAAAUAAAAUGGGUAGUCCCUUGCAUACAAAGCUUGGAGGGUGUCUCUCAUUCUUCUCUUCUUCUGCUUUUUCUCAUCUACCUGAGAAUAAUUUUAAAUGGAUCGAAGGAAUGAAUGUCAGCCACCAAACUGAGAAGUUGACUUGCCUUUAAUCACCUGUAACUUUGUUAGAAUAAUAAAUUCUGUAGAAAGCUAA
rnacentral:lncRNA from 1 species